AAGCAUUUUAGAACAGCGUAGAAUUAAAAACGCCAGUAGGAAGCUAUGCUGUUGACAUAGUCACAGUGUUGAUGCUCUUGCAGAUCCUGUCUCUCCUUCUCAAACACGAUGUCAUGGAUUUACAAAGAAAACUGUGGCGGGUCAGACCGGUUGUUUUGCUCUAAUCGCUUUAUUAUGAUGAUCGUAUUGUGCGAUUGUUUACUUGUUGUUAUACCCAUAUGACACGACCCCUAUAAACAUUAAUCUUUCAGCACACAGACGUAACAAGGGGGCGUGUCGCUCAUGUCCAGCCCGACGUGUCCGACUCCCUGUACCGCCUUCAGUUCUACAGCCGAAACCUCCAGCUUCUUGACACCCCCUGCAUGAUGAAACACUGUGUCCCGCUUUCUCGCCUGGCGUUCAGCUAAGAUGAAUCUCCUGCUAGUUCUUUUCCUGCGCUGUAACAUGCAUCACACACUGUGCAAGCAUCUUCUCUGGACAUGAUCGGUGGGGUUUGGAAUCCUCAUCUUCUUUGCCGGACCGCUGGAAGGACAUGGAAAACCUCUUGGAGAAGUGAGGAAAGUUAACGGUGACAACACAAACCAGUGGUGCCGACUGCAGUCUGAACAGGAAUAUAUUACACAACACAUUAAGGCCAUUUAUAAUGUCUUGAAGAGAGAGAGAGAAAUUCUGAAGGGUGACAAGGAUGUUUUUUGGAAGUGUAUUUCCGGUGUUUCCGGCGGGGAAAGAGACUUAAUAAAUGCAAGUUUUCAUCAAGAGGACAACCACUGUCUUGUUUUAUCUUGUUGCAUGCCGUAGGAAGAGGAGACAAGUAGAUGGUUUGCAGUCCAGAACAGAGAGGCC